GGGUCAGUAGGUUGGUCGUGCCACCGGUACGUACUGGACUCACUGAUUCCUCCUUCCUGAAGAAUCGUAAUGCCAUUAAUUUGGUGUUGCGGGGAAACAGGACUGUUACUUUGAAAAAAUUAGAGUGUUUAAAGCAAGCUAACGCUUGAAUACAUUAGCAUGGAAUAAUGAAAUAGGACGAUCGAUCCUAUUUUGUUGGUUUCUAGGAUUGACGUA
rnacentral:rRNA from 1 species